GACGAACGCUGGCGGCGUGCCUAAUACAUGCAAGUCGACCUUAGUUACGAACGGGUGAGUAACCCGUGGGUAACCUGCCCAUCAGAAGGGGAUAACACUUGAACACAGGUGCUAUGACCGUAUAUUGCUGGAUGGACCCGCGGUGCAUUAGCUAGUUGGUGAGGUAACGGCGAACCAAGGCGACGAUGCAUAGCCGACCUGAGAGGGUGAGCGGCCACAUUGGAACUGAGACACGGCCCAAACUCCUACGGGAGGCAGCAGUAGGGAAUAUUCGGCAAUGGACGAAAGUCUGACCGAGCAACGCCGCGUGAGUGAAGAAGGUUUUCGGAUCGUAAAACUCUGUUGUUAGAGAAGCGGUAUCUAACCAGAAAGCCACGGCUAACUCCGUGCCAGCCGCCGCGGUAAUAC
rnacentral:rRNA from 1 species